UACAGAGGUGGCAAGCGUUGUUCGGAAUUACUGGGCGUAAAGCGCGUGUAGGUGGCUUGUUAUGUCAGGUGUGAAAGCCCUCGGCCUAACCGAGGAAGUGCGCCUGAAACUGACAAGCUUGAGUACGAGAGAGGAGAACGGAAUUCCCAGUGUAGAGGUGAAAUUCGUAGAUAUUGGGAGGAACACCGGCGGCGAAAGCGGUUCUCUGGAUCGAUACUGACACUAAGACGCGAAAGCGUGGGGAGCAAACAGG
rnacentral:rRNA from 1 species